rnacentral:lncRNA from 1 species
GCGGUUGACUGGAAAAAUCGAAGGAGCAAAAUCAUAGCGCACGCAGAUUUCUGAAGAAAAAAUAUUAAUUGCAAUUGCAUUUGGAGACAAAAAAUAAAUUCCAAACUAAUAAAAUUACGUGAGUUCUGCGUGAAGAAUUUUCGGUGAUAAUAAAAACCCAAUUGUCCCGCUGUACAAAAGCCGAAACCAGUUGGUUGGUGAAGAUAAAAAACGGUUAAAACCAUCAGAAAUACAUUUAACCACAAAGCAAAGAGCAUACAAAACUGUAAUUGACAAAACGGAACUAACAGUAAUAGUAGUUUUCAAUCAGUAAAUCAUACACGCUCCAGAUCGUUUGCAGCUCUAACCUAAAAAACAAAAAAACCAACAAAUACAAGUUCCAACGCUAGUUUCCCAACUUCGCUAAGACAGCACCAACAAAGCGCACAGCAAAUUAAAAAGCGUCAGCAUCAUGACUAUGGCUGGGCAGACCAUCAACGAUCGGCUAUUGGCGGCGCGGCAUAGCUUGGCCGGUCAAGGCCUGGCUAAGUCGGUGUGCAAGGCCACCACAGAGGAGUGCAUCGGACC